GGGGAAUAUUGCACAAUGGAGGAAACUCUGAUGCAGCAACGCCGCGUGGAGGAUGACGCAUUUCGGUGUGUAAACUCCUUUUAUAAGGGAAGAUAAUGACGGUACCUUAUGAAUAAGCACCGGCUAACUCCGUGCCAGCAGCCGCGGUAAUACGGAGGGUGCAAGCGUUACUCGGAAUCACUGGGCGUAAAGGAUGCGUAGGCUGGAAAUCAAGUCGAAAGUGAAAUCCAACGGCUCAACCGUUGAACUGCUUUCGAAACUGGUUACCUAGAAUAUGGGAGAGGUAGAUGGAAUUAGUGGUGUAGGGGUAAAAUCCGUAGAUAUCACUAGGAAUACCGAUUGCGAAGGCGAUCUACUGGAACAUUAUUGACGCUGAGGCAUGAAAGCGUGGGGAGCAAAC
rnacentral:rRNA from 1 species